UUGACUGUGCUAAGGUAGCAUAAUAAAUUGGCUUUUAAUUGAAGUCGGGAAUGAAAGGGUGUUUGGAGUUAUUCUGUCUUAUUUUUAUUUUUUAAAAAUUACUAAUGAGGUGAAAAUUCCUCAAUAUUUUAUGAUAGACGAGAAGACCCUAAGAAUUAUUACAACUAUUUUAAAUUGAAUUAAUAAAAGUUUUUGUUGGGGCAACAGCUUUGAAUAACCAAAGUUAAAAUUUACUAUAAAAAGAUUAUAUUAAAAACGGAUUUAAUUACCUUAGGGAUAACAGCAUAAUUAAAUUUUAGAUUGUGACCUCGAUGUUGGAUUAAGGCCU
rnacentral:rRNA from 1 species